rnacentral:rRNA from 1 species
UAAGUUAUUAAGGGCCCAUGGUGGAUGCCUUGGCACUAGGAGCCCGAUGAGGGACGUGACUAACUGCGAUAUGCUUCGGGGAGUCGUUAAGUAGACUGUGAUCCGAAGAUUCCCAGA